rnacentral:misc_RNA from 1 species
AAAAAAAAAUAAUUUAUUUUAAAUUUUUAACUAAAAAGUAAUUUUAAUUUGAAAACGAGAAAAGCACAUCCACAUGCCAUCCAGCUCUAAUCAAAAACGACAAAAUAUGAUCUGACCGCUCAUGUUUUACUAAGUCCACGUGCUCGAAUUAUGUGCCACGUUAACGGCUGAAAGCUCAUUGAUGCAAACCGUUGGGUCCCAAUUAAACCUAGAGUCCUCAUUCUAUAUGCAUGAUUACGUGGCAGUCACGCAUGAAUUUUGAUACAUCUCACCGGCAAUACACCAAAAUUUUUUUUUAUCAUGGCCGCCGGAUAAGACACAAACAAAGCACGUUCUUAUUAGGACUGUAAAAGUAAAAUCAUGCCAGUAGAGUCCUGAGCUAAACUGGAAAUUUUUUACGUAAAAAAAUUUAUUAUUAAAAAUAUCUGUCAAUAUGAAACAAAUAUCUAAAAAAUUGUAGAAAUUCUAAAAUGUAUUUCCUAUUAGUAACCGUAUGAGCCAAGACUAGAUUUUUUUUUUUAAAAAAAAUUAUAUAAAACGUAGCAAAUAUCCUACGCUCAGUAAUUCCGAUCAAACUCAAAUUAGUAAUUGAUUAAUUUUUAUGGCCUGUAACUUAAUGGUCUAGCAAUCACUUCAUCGCUUGUUUAGACUAGAACCUAAAUACCGUGAUCAGGCGUGAUGUGAUACAGCGGAGGCCGUGAAAACGAGUCCAUUGCAGUGCAUAUUUUACCUGGGUUGCAGCAUGGACUCGCUG